AAGACCUUUAAUUCAGUCCCGUGAGGCUGGCAAGGUAACGUGAACCGAGGUUCACUUUUGUGGCAUGCGCAUGCCUGGUUUUCGCGCGGUCCACGAAAGGAAUCCCUGUGUCCAAAUGUCUAACGACUUUCACUCCUUGCCAUGAGCGGCAAGGAGUUUUUUGCAU
rfam:Paenibacillus sp. P1XP2 CM49_contig000005, whole genome shotgun sequence.